rnacentral:misc_RNA from 1 species
AAGUCGUAACAAGGUUUCCGUAGGUGAACCUGCGGAAGGAUCAUUACCGAGUGAGGGCCCUCUGGGUCCAACCUCCCACCCGUGUUUAUUUUACCUUGUUGCUUCGGCGAGCCUGCCUUUUGGCUGCCGGGGGGCAUCUGCCCCCGGGUCCGCGCUCGCCGGAGACACCUUGAACUCUGUCUGAAGAUUGUAGUCUGAGACAAAAUAUAAAUUAUUUAAAACUUUCAACAACGGAUCUCUUGGUUCCG